CCUUAGCAGCCAUCAUUUAAAGAAAGCGUAAUAGCUCACUGGUCGAGUCGGCCUGCGCGGAAGAUGUAACGGGGCUAAACCAUGCACCGAAGCUGCGGCAGCGACGCUUAUGCGUUGUUGGGUAGGGGAGCGUUCUGUAAGCCGUCGAAGGUGGACUGUGAGGUCUGCUGGAGGUAUCAGAAGUGCGAAUGCUGACAUAAGUAACGAUAAAGCGGGUGAAAAGCCCGCUCGCCGGAAGACCAAGGGUUCCUGUCCAACGUUAAUCGGGGCAGGGUGAGUCGACCCCUAAGGCGAGGCCGAAAGGCGUAGUCGAUGGGAAACAGGUUAAUAUUCCUGUACUCGGUGUUACUGCGAAGGGGGGACGGAGAAGGCUAUGUUAGCCGGGCGACGGUUGUCCCGGUUUAAGCAUGUAGGCGGAGAGUUUAGGUAAAUCCGGACUCUUUUAACGCUGAGGUGUGAUGACGAGGCACUACGGUGCUGAAGUAACAAAUGCCCUGCUUCCAGGAAAAGCCUCUAAGCAUCAGGUAACACAGAAUCGUACCCCAAACCGACACAGGUGGUCAGGUAGAGAAUACCAAGGCGCUUGAGAGAACUCGGGUGAAGGAACUAGGCAAAAUGGUGCCGUAACUUCGGGAGAAGGCACGCUGGCGCGUAGGUGAAGGGACUUGCUCCCGGAGCUGAAGCCAGUCGAAGAUACCAGCUGGCUGCAACUGUUUAUUAAAAACACAGCACUGUGCAAACACGAAGGUGGACGUAUACGGUGUGACGCCUGCCCGGUGCCGGAAGGUUAAUUGAUGGGGUUAUCCGCAAGGAGAAGCUCUUGAUCGAAGCCCCGGUAAGCGGCGGCCGUAACAAUAACGGUCCUAAGGUAGCGAAAUUCCUUGUCGGGUAAGUUCCGACCUGCACGAAUGGCGUAAUGAUGGCCAGGCUGUCUCCACCCGAGACUCAGUGAAAUUGAACUCGCUGUGAAGAUGCAGUGUACCCGCGGCAAGACGGAAAGACCCCGUGAACCUUUACUAUAGCUUGACACUGAAUAUUGAACCUUGAUGUGUAGGAUAGGUGGGAGGCUUUGAAGCGUGGACGCCAGUCUGCGUGGAGCCAACCUUGAAAUACCACCCUUUAACGUUUGAUGUUCUAACCUGGCGCCGUAAUCCGGCGUGGGGACAGUGUCUGGUGGGUAGUUUGACUGGGGCGGUCUCCUCCUGAAGAGUAACGGAGGAGCACGAUGGUUAGCUAAUCACGGUCGGACAUCGUGAGGUUAGUGCAAUGGCAUAAGCUAGCUUGACUGCGAGAGUGACGGCUCGAGCAGGUGCGAAAGCAGGUCAUAGUGAUCCGGUGGUUCUGAAUGGAAGGGCCAUCGCUCAACGGAUAAAAGGUACUCCGGGGAUAACAGGCUGAUACCGCCCAAGAGUUCAUAUCGACGGCGGUGUUUGGCACCUCGAUGUCGGCUCAUCACAUCCUGGGGCUGAAGUAGGUCCCAAGGGUACGGCUGUUCGCCGUUUAAAGUGGUACGCGAGCUGGGUUUAGAACGUCGUGAGACAGUUCGGUCCCUAUCUGCCGUGGGCGCUGGAAGAUUGAGAGGGGUUGCUCCUAGUACGAGAGGACCGGAGUGAACGCACCACUGGUGUUCGGGUUGUCAUGCCAAUGGCAUUGCCCGGUAGCUAAGUGCGGAAAAGACAAGCGCUGAAAGCAUCUAAGCGCGAAACUUGCCUCGAGAUGAAUCUUCCCUGGGCCUUUAAGGCCCCUGAAGGGACGUUGAAGACUACGACGUUGAUAGGCCGGGUGUGUAAGCGCAGCGAUGCGUUGAGCUAACCGGUACUAAUGACCCGUGAGGCUU
rnacentral:rRNA from 1 species